CAAUAGUGUUGCAUUAUCACCUUCGAAACAUCACAGGCUGAUGGAGAGACGCAGAUGUUACCGGCCCAUUGAACCCGAAGCCGAACGCUCUGGUUUUUUGGACGAGGAGACGUAGAGUGUU
ensembl:ncRNA ZK180.14 ncRNA